GGUGGUGGAGCCACGUCUGGGUACUUCGGAGUUGGACAAGGAGUUAUGGGAGGUGGAGGUGCUGUUGGCCAAUCUGCCUACUUCGGAGUUG
rnacentral:sRNA from 1 species